rnacentral:lncRNA from 1 species
GCUCCUCGUCGUGCGCGAGAGGGAGACGCCCUCACCUUCCGUGAUUCGCCCCAGCUGCUGCCAGCAGUGAAACCGACCGCCGCCAGCCGCUGCUCACCACCACUCUCCGUCGUCGGACAUCCGCAGUCACAACGCGAGGAUCUCCUCUUCUGCCGCUCAUCGCGCGAGAGAGAGGGCUCGCUUUCUUCACAGAAUCGUAUCCUGGGCGACCUUGGUCACCGUACCAGCCAGGGUGCCACCGGUGUUCCUAGUCUCUCCGAGGUGGUCGCCGGCUACCAUGCCUCUGCCCUUCACCUUCGCCUGCGGACAGGGAAGCUCUUCCCUUCUUCUCAGAAUUUGAAAUCGGCAUUGUCGCCGCUGCCUCUCUUGUCAUUUCACACAAGCCAUACAACAGAGACCUUGAUUUCAGAGGGAUCAAUGAGAACACCGUCGCCGGUAUGUUAUCAGGGUCCUUGUGACUUUCGAAACUGGCCCAUGGCUUACAGAUGAAAUUGGAAGAAAAUGCCCUCUCUUGUAUUCUUCAAAGACUCAAGAAAUCAAAACAAACACUAAGGUAAUGAUCUGAUUUUGGUUGUUGGCUUCAUUU